rnacentral:lncRNA from 1 species
GGAAUAUUUAAAACUAGAGGCUCUAAAGAGCCUGUGUCGCUCACCUUGGUCUAUGUGCAUAUUAAACAAAGGACACAAAUGGAUUCAUGACAAAAUUGUAUUUUGGUGAUGGUGAUGUGUUUGAAGUUCUUACUUUACUGAACGAUUUUGCUUCUUACAAUUAUAUCUAUCAUGAACUCUGCCCAUUAGUAACAGAGAACUAUAUUUGGUAAAAAUUUACAUAAAUUUACCAAAUUAAUGAAAAUUGUAAAAAUUGACUAUAAAGGGCAAUAACUCCUUAAGGGGUCAAUUGACCAUUUAGGUCAUGUUGACUUAUUUGUA